UACGUAGGUGGCAAGCGUUGUCCGGAAUUAUUGGGCGUAAAGCGCGCGCAGGCGGUCCUUUAAGUCUGAUGUGAAAGCCCACGGCUCAACCGUGGAGGGUCAUUGGAAACUGGGGGACUUGAGUGCAGAAGAGGAAAGCGGAAUUCCACGUGUAGCGGUGAAAUGCGUAGAGAUGUGGAGGAACACCCGUGGCGAAGGCGGCUCUCGUGGGACGGUACUGACGCUGAGACGCGAAAGCGUGGGGAGCGAACAGG
rnacentral:rRNA from 1 species